rnacentral:rRNA from 1 species
GGUGAACGCUGGCGGCGUGCCUAAUACAUGCAAGUCGAGCGAACAGACGAGGAGCUUGCUCCUCUGACGUUAGCGGCGGACGGGUGAGUAACACGUGGAUAACCUACCUAUAAGACUGGGAUAACUUCGGGAAACCGGAGCUAAUACCGGAUAAUAUAUUGAACCGCAUGGUUCAAUAGUGAAAGACGGUUUUGCUGUCACUUAUAGAUGGAUCCGCGCCGCAUUAGCUAGUUGGUAAGGUAACGGCUUACCAAGGCAACGAUGCGUAGCCGACCUGAGAGGGUGAUCGGCCACACUGGAGGUGAGACACGGUCCAGACGCCUACGGGAGGCAGCAGUAGGGAAGCUUCCGCAAUGGGCGAAAGACUGACGGAGCAACGCCGCGUGAGUGAUGAAGGUCUUCGGAUCGUAAAACUCUGUUAUUAGGGAAGAACAAAUGUGUAAGUAACUAUGCACGUCUUGACGGUACCUAAUCAGAAAGCCACGGCUAACUACGUG